rnacentral:misc_RNA from 1 species
AAGGAUCAUUACAAGAUAGGUGUGUGCCUCUUGGUACGCCGCCUUUCCACCCUCUUGAGUACCUCACCUCUGUUGCUUUGGCGGGCCGGCCCCUUAUGGUCGGCAGGCUCUCUCGUAGGAGCUGGCUAGUGCCCGCCAGAAGGCCACAUCAUACUUUUAAACGUGGUUUGUCUGAGCUGUAGAGCAAAUACUAGCAAAACUUUCAACAACGGAUCUCUUGGUUCUG